AGGUCCAUAGCUCAAUUGGUAGAGUAUAUGUCUUACACACAUGUUGUUUCCGGUUCGAGUCCGGAUGGGCCUA
rnacentral:tRNA from 2 species